UGGUUAGAGUGUAGAGGAGGUAGGUAUCCUAGUGGUUAGAGUGUAGAGGAAGCAGGUAACCUAGUGGUUAGAGUGUAGAGGAGGCAGGUAGCCUAGUGGUUAGAGUGUAGAGGAAGCAGGUAGCCUAGUGGUUAGAGUGUAGAGGAGGCAGGUAGCCUAGUGGUUAGAGUGUAGAGGAGGUAGGUAUCCUAGUGGUUAGAGUGUAGAGGAAGCAGGUAACCUAGUGGUUAGAGUGUAGAGGAGGCAGGUAGCCUAGUGGUUAGAGUGUAGAGGAAGCAGGUAGCCUAGUGGUUAGAGUGUAGAGGAGGCAGGUAGCCUAGUGGUUAGAGUGUAGAGGAGGCAGGUAGCCUCGUGGUUAGAGUAUAGAGGAGGCAGGUAGCCUCGUGGUUAGAGUGUAGAGGAGGCAGGUAGCCUAGUGGUUAGAGUGUAGAGGAGGCAGGUAGCCUAGUGGUUAGAGUAUAGAGGAGGCAGGUAGCCUAGUGGUUAGAGCAGGUAGCCUAGUGGUUAAAGCAGGUAGCCUAGUGGUUAGAGCAGGUAGCCUAGUGGUUAAAGCAGGUAGCCUAGUGGUUAGAGGGGCGGCAGGUAGCCUAGUGGUUAGAGUCAGGUAUGUCACGAACCUGCUCAAAGCCCGUAAAAAAAGGGAGACAACGUGGAGAGGAGUAACAAAAGAUAUAUUACUAACUAAAGCAACUAAGUAUAAUAUCCAAUGGUGUGUGUAAUCAGUAAUCAGUAGUGUAAGUGAGUGUUUUGCAUGAAUGCAUGUGAUAAUGCAGGGUGUUAAAAGGUGCCAAAGCAAACAAACAAAAGGCCACCAAGAACCACAACACAAUCUACAAAAGGUGUCUGCAUGGAGAGAGUCUCUUCCAUGAAUGUGGAAGAGGUCUAUUUAUCCUGGGAGACACCUGGCCCAGGUGUUUCCCAUGUAGCUGACGACCCUCCCAACUCCGGUUAGAGCAGGUAGCCUAGUGGUUAGAGCAGGUAGCCAAGUGGUUAGAGGGGCGGCAGGUAGCCUAGUGGUUAGAGCAGGUAGCCAAGUGGUUAGAGGGGCGGCAGGUAGCCUAGUGGUUAGAGCAGGUAGCCUAGUGGUUAGAGCAGGUAGCCUAGUGGUUAGAGCAGGUAGCCUAGUGGUUAAAGCAGGUAGCCUAGUGGUUAGAGCAGGUAGCCUAGUGGUUAGAGACAGGUAGUCUAGUGGUUAGAGCAGGUACGGCUAGUGGUUAAAGCAGGUAGCCUGGUGGUUAGAGCAGGUAGCCUAGUGGUCAGAGACAGGUAGCCUAGUGGUUAGAGCAGGUAGCCUGGUGGUUAGAGCAGGUAGCCUAGUGGUUAGAGCAGGUAGACUGGUGGUUAGAGCCAGGUAGCAUAGUGGUUAGAGCAGGUAGCCUAGUGGCUAGAGCAGGUAGCCUAGUGGUUAGAGCAGGUAGCCUGGUGGUUAGAGCAGGUAGCCUGGUGGUUAGAGCAGGUAGCCUAGUGGUUAGAGCCAGGUAGACUAGUGGUUAGAGCAGGUAGCCUAGUGGUUAGAGCAGGUAGUCUGGUGGUUGGAGCAGGUAGCAUGGUGGUUAGAGUGUUGGGCCAGUAACCAGCAGGUAGCCUAGAGGUUAGAGUGUUGGGCCAGUAACCAGCAGGUAGCCUUGUGGUUAGAGCAGGUAGCCUGGUGGUUAGAGUGUUGGGCCAGUAACCAGCAGGUAGCCUUGUGGUUAGAAUAGGUAGCCUGGUGGUUAGAGUGUUGGGCCAGUAACCAGCAGGUAGCCUUGUGGUUAGAGCAUGUAACCUGGUGGUCAGAGUGUUGGGCCAGUAACCAGCAGGUAGCCUCGUGGUUAGAGCAGGUAGCCUGGUGGUUAGAGUGUUGGGCCAGUAACCAGCAGGUAGCCUAGCGGUUAGAGUGUUGGACUAGUAACCAGCAGGUAGCCUAGUGGUUAGAGCAGGUAGCCUAGUGGUUAGAGUGUUGGACUAGUAAACAGCAGGUAGCCUAGUGG